AUCAACGACCAUACCACAUAGGAACUACUUCGAUCAGGUUCUCGUUCGAUCACCAAAGUCAAGCUGCACGGUUAGUACUUGGAUGGGUGAAUGGGUGAACACCGUGUGUUGUUGGUU
rnacentral:rRNA from 1 species